GUGGUGGUGUCGCUUGUUCAGCGCCUUUGGCGUGCAUUCUGGCGAUACCUUGUCGUCGUGGCUGGUUGGUACGUGAUUUUGACGUUCCGGCUGGUGAGGGCUCCCUACGGUGAGGACGACGACAAAAUGACGCAAUACGACCCGUCUUGAAACACGGACCAAGGAGUCUAGCACGGCUGCGAGUCGAAGGGUGUAAAACCCAAGGGCGCAGUGAAAGCGAAUUUAAAGCAAAUUGGGGAGGCGUGAAGUUUUCAACAAAAUGUCCUACCUUGAGCAUUUGUGCUGGGACCCGAAAGAUGGUGAACUAUGCCGGAGUAGGGCAAAGCCAGAGGAAACUCUGGUGGAGGCUCGUAGCGAUGCUGACGUGCAAAUCGCUCGUCGAACUUGGGUAUAGGGGCGAAAGACUAAUCGAACCAUCUAGUAGCUGGUUCCCUCCGAAGUUUCUCUCAGGAUAGCGGGCCGACAUAUGUUGUUUUGUGCGGUAAAGCGAAUGAUUAGUGCAUUUGGGGUCUGAUAGACUUCGGGCGAUUCUCAAACUUUAAAUGCGCAAGGGGGUGGCUGCUUAAUUGAGCCUACUCUUUGAAAAACGUCGGCCCUGUGGGCCACUUUUGGUAAGCAGAACUGGCGAUAAGGGAUGAACCUUAAGCGCGGUUAAGGCGCCGCAUUGCCCGCUUAUAGACCCCACAAAAGGUGUUGAUUCAUUUAGACAGCAGGACGGUGGCCAUGGAAGUCGGAAUCCGCUAAGGAGUGUGUAACAACUCACCUGCCGAAUGAAUUAGCCCUGAAAAUGGAUGGCGCUGAAGCGGGCAGCCGACACCGCGCCGUUCCGGCGAGACGAUGCCGGGAUGAGUAGGAGGGCGUGGCGGUCAGUGACGCAGGCGAGGGUGCAGACCCCGCUGAAACGGCCGCUAGUGCAGAUCUUGGUGGUAGUAGCAAAUAUUCAAGCGAGAUCCUUGAAGGGCGAAGCGGGGAAGGGUUCCACGCAAACAUUGAUUGGGCGUGGGUGAGUCGUUCCUAAGCCGAGUGGCAAUUGCUAAGUAGCGGCGAAAGGGAAGCGGGUUAAAAUUCCCGCACACGGAUAUGGAGGCGGCGACGCAAGCAGAGGCAAAUACGCUGGCGAGGGCGCUGGGCAGAGUUGUCUUUUCUGUUUGACCGGCAUCGCGCUGUGUGGAAUCCGCUUAUCGGGAGAAACACGCGCGGGGAGGGGCAGAGCGUCAGGUCUUUUCUGGCGUCCGGCUCGCCCUCGACGGCCCUUGAAAAUUUGCCCGCGAACUUAAAUUUCAUGCUGUGACGUACCGAUAACCGCAUCAGGUCCCCAAGGUGAACAGCCUCUGCUCAAUAUGAACAAUGCAGGUAAGGGAAGUCGGCAAAAUAGACCCGUAACUUUGGGAAAAGGGUUGGCUCUAGUGGAGCGGGGGUUUUCAAAGGGAGCUCACCUGUGCUUGGUGCAGGGCGGAUAUGGCUAGCUCACGCUGGACGUGCCUGCUCGGUGCCUUGCGCGGGGGACGUUUCUCGCCCUCAGCAUGCUCCAGACUAGAACUGCAACGGGCAAAGGGAAUCCGACUGUUUAAUUAAAACAAAGCAUUGCGAAG
rnacentral:rRNA from 1 species